rnacentral:tRNA from 1 species
GCCGGGGUGGUGGAACUGGUAGACGCGCCGGACUCAAAAUCCGGUGAAGGCAACUUCGUGUCGGUUCGAUUCCGACCCUCGGCACCA